CGAAGCUUGGCGCCUCUUGGCGGCAGCGAAGCGCAGGAGCAGAGAGGAGGGGCCUCGGACACCGAGCGGGUGGAGUCGCCAGUCGGAGGGCGGUGGAGGCGGAUUUCCUGGGAGGGUUCUCUGGAGCUACCAUGGCGUUUGGGAAGAGUCACCGCGAUCCUUACGCUACCUCUGUGGGUCACCUCGUAGAAAAGGCUACAUUUGCUGGAGUCCAGACUGAAGACUGGGGCCAGUUCAUGCAUAUCUGUGACAUAAUUAACACCACCCAGGAUGGGCCAAAAGAUGCAGUGAAAGCUCUGAAGAAAAGAAUCUCCAAAAACUACAACCACAAAGAAAUCCAACUUUCCUUGUCACUGAUUGACAUGUGCAUGCAGAACUGUGGUCCGAGCUUCCAAUCUCUGAUUGUGAAGAAGGAGUUCAUCAAGGAUACUCUAGUUAAGUUGCUGAACCCCAGAUAUACUUUGCCGUUGGACGUUCAGAACAGGAUCUUGAAUUUCAUUAAGACUUGGUCACAGGGCUUCCCAGGAGGUGUGGAUGUAAAUGACGUGAAAGAAGUGUACCUUGACCUGCUGAAGAAAGGAGUUCAAUUCCCCUCCUUGGAUGGAGAGGCUGAGACCAGGCAAGAGGCUGGUCAGAUCUCACCAAGUCAACCAACAUCGGUCCCCACGGCACCUGCUCUUUCUUCUAUAAUUGCUCCCAAGAACCCGACAAUUUCUUUAGUCCCAGAACAGAUCGGGAAACUGCACAGUGAGUUGGAUAUGGUGAAAAUGAAUGUGAGAGUGAUGACUGCCAUAUUGAUGGAGAACACCCCUGGGUCUGAAGACCCUGAAGACGUAGAGCUCCUGAAGAAACUUUACAAGACGGGUCGGGAGAUGCAGGAGAGGAUCAUGGACCUGCUGGUGGUAGUGGAAAACGAAGAUGUGACUGUUGAGCUCAUUCAAGUGAACGAGGAUCUGAAUAACGCCAUCCUGGGCUAUGAGAGGUUUACUCGAAACCAACAAAGGCUUUUGGAACAGAAUAGGAGCCCAAAGGAAGCCACCAAUACUUCCAACGAGCCCUCUGCUCCUUCCUGUGAUCUGCUAGACCUGAGCCCCAUCGAGCCAGUGGCUGUGUCCAAUGGGGGAGCACUCAACACCGUGAAUGCUCAGCUUUCAGGCUUAAGUGUCAGCUCUCCAAAUCCUGUUGUAACAAGCAGCUUGUAUCCCAGUCUUCACCCACAGGUGGAUUUGCUAGCAUCAGAAAAUACAGAAACACCCACCUUGGUAAUCAUGCUGUGUUGUCGCACUAUCCUAGGUUUGCCCAAAGGACCAGCCAAAACCUCGCCUCAAGUCACACAUAUGAUAAUGUCCUGGAACACUCCAAUUCAGUACUGCUUCAGCCAGUUAGCCUACAGACAGCCACAGCAGCACCAUCCAACCAGAGGCUGCCACCCUUGCCCAGCAGUCACUCAGUGAUAACAAACAAUGAUCUCCAGCCACCCAAUUACUAUGAGGUAAUGGAGUUUGAUCCCCUAGCUCCUGCUACAGAAGCUGUUUAUGAAGAAAUUGAUGCUUACCACCACAAAGGAGCUCAAAGUCAUAGUGACUGCUGAGGUAAGACACCAGCUCAUGCAACGUAACUUCAUAUAAUUUCAGUGAAA